UGCAAAUCCUGCGCGAAGAGGAGCCGGUGCAUUCCUGGCGCGAUCGCCUUUUAUUGAAGCUUUUAAUUAAAGGGGCCAGUUGGCGAGCCCAUGAAACAACCGCCAAAACCCCCAAAAGAGAAAAAUAAAUGCUGUAGCCUUCGGGAACGGUUGUUUCGGUUCCUGUUCUGUGGGCGGCUGAGGACCGCCGGCUGCCCGGCUCGGAGAAGAACAGGCUGGGGACAUGGAAAAUUCGAAAAAAAAAUAUUUGGUGAUUUGGACUAGUAAAGCACUUAAUCUGGAUAAGUGUACCACCCUGAAGGCUGGCUCUCCUGCUCACACAGAACUUCCAAAACCAGGACUCCUUCUCAGGAACUAAAAUGAAGGG